UGGGGAAUAUUGCACAAUGGGCGCAAGCCUGAUGCAGCGACGCCGCGUGAGGGAUGACGGCCUUCGGGUUGUAAACCUCUUUCAGCAGGGAAGAAGCGCAAGUGACGGUACCUGCAGAAGAAGCGCCGGCUAACUACGUGCCAGCAGCCGCGGUAAUACGUAGGGCGCAAGCGUUGUCCGGAAUUAUUGGGCGUAAAGAGCUCGUAGGCGGCUUGUCACGUCGGGUGUGAAAGCCCGGGGCUUAACCCCGGGUCUGCAUCCGAUACGGGCAGGCUAGAGUGUGGUAGGGGAGAUCGGAAUUCCUGGUGUAGCGGUGAAAUGCGCAGAUAUCAGGAGGAACACCGGUGGCGAAGGCGGAUCUCUGGGCCAUUACUGACGCUGAGGAGCGAAAGCGUGGGGAGCGAACAGGAUUAGAUACCCUGGUAGUCCACGCCGUAAACGUUGGGAACUAGGUGUUGGCGACAUUCCACGUCGUCGGUGCCGCAGCUAACGCAUUAAGUUCCCCGCCUGGGGAGUACGGCCGCAAGGCUA
rnacentral:rRNA from 1 species